rnacentral:lncRNA from 1 species
AGGAAACAUGCCCAGAUAGAGAACCUAAAAAAUAUUAUUGAGAAAGAAUUUCUUAAAAUGAUGUAAAUAAAAAUCUGGAAAUUAUACUAAUUGUUAGAGAUUUUUUUUAAAAGUUAGAUUUAGCUGUUUAAUUCUUGAGCACUGUGUCUCAGAGUCCUCUUUUUAAAAGAUUUAAGUAAGUGUAUGUACGUGUGUGUGUGUGUGUGUGUGUGUGUGUGUGUAUGUAUGUGUGUGUGUGCACAUGAGUGUAGGUGCCAGAAAGGGGGAUGAUAUCCCCUGGAGCUGGAGUUGUAAGCAGUUGUAAGCUGCCGGACAUGCAUCCUUGGGAACCAAAGUCCAGUCCUCUGGAAAGGCAACACAGGCCCUUAACCACCAAUCCAUCUUUCCAGCCCCGCGGAUUCCUAUUUUAAAAAGCCACUUCUUUUCUCUUAUAAAUAACUAGAACAGUUGCUUUCCCAUCUAGCUUCUUACAUCCUGAAUAGUAUAUGGUAUUCCUGCUGAUUCUCAGUGUCAGAUCGGUACUUGAGUGAAGCCAGUGACAGGCAUGGUCUCAGCCUUCUGGUCCCUCAUGGGGAAUUUAUAAGACAGAAUGGUGAACAGUAGGAAAGCCAUGAUGGGUUAAGCCCAAUGCAGUGGGGAGCACCGACCAGAACCUUGUCAGGAAAAAUGUAUCAAGGAAGAUAACCACUGAGUGGAGCUAGGAAGGAUGACACACAAGGAAGGGGGAAAAAUGCUGGAAGAUGCAAAACCAGCCAUACUUGGGAGGUGUAGGCUAAGUCAUUGCCUAAGGUGUGGAGGGAUACAACUCAGAUCAGAUGUGAAGAGUGUCAGAAACAAUAGAGAGAGCCAGAGUUCAUUGAGGUGUGUGUGUGCUCACAAUGUAUAGUAGUGUACAUACAAUGCAUAAUACUGUUAUUAUAUAUCAUCUACUAUAGAAU